rnacentral:rRNA from 1 species
GAUGAACGCUGGCGGCGUGCUUAACACAUGCAAGUCGAACGGUGAACGAGGGAGCUUGCUCCCUCCGGAUCAGUGGCGAACGGGUGAGUAACACGUGAGCAAUCUGCCCUGGACUCUGGGAUAAGCGUUGGAAACGACGUCUAAUACCGGAUACGAGGCGUGGGGGCAUCCCCAACGCCUGGAAAGAACUUCGGUCCAGGAUGAGCUCGCGGCCUAUCAGCUAGUUGGUGAGGUAACGGCUCACCAAGGCGACGACGGGUAGCCGGCCUGAGAGGGUGACCGGCCACACUGGGACUGAGACACGGCCCAGACUCCGACGGGAGGCAGCAGUGGGGAAUAUCGCACAAUGGGCGAAAGCCUGAUGCAGCAACGCCGCGUGAGGGACGACGGCCUUCGGGUUGUAAACCUCUUUUAGCAGGGAAGAAGCGAAAGUGACGGUACCUGCAGAAAAAGCACCGGUUAACUACGUGCCAGCCGCCGCGGUAAUAC